GCCCGGUUAGCUCAAUCGGUAGAGCGUGAGACUCUUAAUCUCAAGGUUGCGGGUCAGUAGCAUAUUUAAACCAUUCACGACUGAAAUAUGACUAACAAUAUCAUCAGGUUCGACCCCCGCAUCGGGCU